GUCUAUGGCCAAGCCCUGAACAUGCCCAAUGUCAUCUGAUCUCAGAAGCUAAGCAGGGUCGGGCCUGGUUAGUAAUUGGAUGGGAGACCAGCUAGGAAUACCAGGUGCUGUAGGCG
rnacentral:rRNA from 1 species